rnacentral:rRNA from 1 species
CCCUACGGGGUGCCGCAGGUACCUUGAAAACUAGACCGUGAAGAGAACAGGGUGAGAGACACCAACAGGUGUGUUUCAUCCGACAAGGAAUGUCUUUCAGUAGAACAGUACAAGACAAUCCCUGUCAUUCCUUUCAGACGUUCGUUCUUCCUUCCCUGAAGGAGGAACAACACAAUAGUAUUUCGAAGAGUUCGAUCCUGGCUCAGAAUGAACGCUGGCGGCGUGCCUUACACCUGCAAGUCGAGCGAAGGCGGAACCAAGGGGCAACCCGAGGUCCUGUCUGAGCGGCAAACGGGUGAGUAAUGGACAGGUAACGUACCCCCAAGACGUGGAUAGCUCAUCGAAAGAUGAGAUAAUACGCGAUAAUGGUCUCCCGCGCAGGCGGGAGAAAGAAAGCGGGCGCAAGCUCGCGCGUCCGGAUCGGCCUGUCUCCUAUCAGCUAGUUGGCGGGGGAGC